GUCACAGUGUGGAUGUUGUGCCUUGUGUGCGUGGCCUGGGCUCUCAGUGUGGGCAUGGCCUGGGCUGUACAUCCUGAAGUUGAUGAUUAUGGUGAAGCUCGCGUGCUCACAUCCGACUCGGACUCUGAUGAGGAUCAGAUCCUUCAUCUCCUGCAGAGUUUCCUCUCAAACCUCAUAUCUGCUCUUCUCCACUCCACUCCGAACCCAAGCG